GCUGAAGAGCCAUCAUUUCAGACUAUUAAGAUGCUUUCAGAUCUGUGACGGGCUUCACCAAUUAAUAAAAGCUACUUCUAUACCGAUACUCACCGCCUGCCCCCAGUGCGGUCCGAGCAGGGAAUUCCAUGGUGCACGCCCAUAAGAAGCGCUUUCUGCAUCUCACAGGACAACAGCCGUCUGCGCUCAGACCCCACCAUCUCCCUCAAACACAGUUUCCCAGCAGAGCCGAGGAGAUGACGGCGCGGGCAAACCCUUCCUGUCCAAACAAAGCUCACUACAUCCCUGGCUUGCUCUGCUCUCACCCCAUCCCUCCCUCGAGUCCUGUACACAAGUGAGGGGAGGAAGAACGGAUCAGGAAGCAGCAGGGUACAAAGAGCAGAAGAGAGCUUCGGUCUCAAGUCCACAGGGCACGCUGCGGCCAAGUCCUCCGACGAAAAGUAAAUUAAAGACAAGAGGAACAAAGAAGAAACAGGGAGAGAGGAGGAGCACACACACCGAGCGUCCACUGUGCCCGCCCCUCGCUCCCCCCACACCAUGCGGUCUGUGUGAUCGUCCCACAGAUGAAGACUAGAGGGGCUCGGGAAGCCAGGCCUCAGAGCCCGCAGGCGCCUCCAUGCACCCCUCCACCUCUGCACGCUGGCUGCCCAGCCCCCAGUCCCAGGCGUGGAAGCCUCCCAGGCGGCAAGGAGCUUUCGAGACCGUGGCUGCUCAGCCCUUGCUCUCUGCUCUAGUCAAGGAGCGUGCCUCGGAAUGAAUGAGGUACAGUCUUUCCCUAAAGUCACCGGAGAACAGAGAUCAAUGAAAAAGGAGGAAGGGAGGAAAGACAAAAGACUUGAGAGGAAGCAAAACGAAACCAGCUUAGAUUUGAUCCCGAUACGUGGGAAAUCAGGUGGGGAAAAGGGGCUACAACUCCAUGAUGACCACAAGUCCAGAGGGCUGUGCAAGCCAACACGGCUGGGGGCUGCAGAAAGCACCACAGCAACUGUCUGACGCCAGGUUGGGGCCAGCAGCCGCACGCUGGAAAACGCAACACACAGCCCACACAGCCCUGUGGGGGCAGCUAAGCCCAAAACCCUGGCGUGGCCCAGCAGGAGCAGGCCUGUGCGGAGUGGACCUGCACACACAGCAAACGCACACACCGCGAACGCACACACCGGAUGCUUCCCGCUGUGGAGACCCACAAGGCAAUGUCUUCUGAAGUUAAAAGGAUGCCAGGAUCCAGCAGUCCCACUCCUAAGUAUGUGCUCAAGGAAAAGUAAGAGUUUAGAUCAUACAAAGCCAACAUUUCCAGCAGCUUUACUCCAUUUCACCAAACCCAGAAACAAUACAGAUGUCCUUCAACCAGUGAACGAAUAAACAAGUCCCAGAGCAGCCGUGCCUGGAGCAUCACUCAGCAACGAAAAGCAGCGCUGCGAUUCACACAGCCACGCGGGGGCCCAGGUCCAUCGGACUGGAGCAGAAAAACCAGAGAAGAAGCCUGAGGAAGAAGCAGGACAGGCCACCAGACCCAACGGGGAGGAAGGCGUCUGGAUGUCCCAGAGUUAGUGAGAGGGCCUUAGCCAAGGAGGCAGGCACAUCACCAAGUACGAGGUGGUCUGCACCCUGCCUCUGCAGGCCUGGGCGGUGCUGCACAAAGUCCCAGGAGAUCCUGAAGUGUGCCCUUGGUAAAGAGGACAGUGGAGACAAAGAAGUAUUUGCAAUGAACAAGUGAAGGCCCACAGCAAACACCCAGCAUGGCACAGCACUGGGCACCACCCGAAGACAAGGAAACCCGACCUUGGGGAGCUCCCAAUGCAGCAGGAGAGGGAUCCAGGCUCUAACGCUGGGAACACAGCCUUUUCUAGAGAUAGGCCUGGCAGAGGCAGCCAGGCAGGCAGCCAAAGCGGGCAGGAAAGACCAGAAGCAGCUAAGAGUCUCCUGCAACAUCCACGUUCCCCAGGCCCCUCCUUCCUGAACAGUCUAGCGGGCCCUGGGGGCCACCGUCAGGGAGGAGCAAGGCUCUGCAGGGAAGCUGCACCCCAUUCCCAAGGGCACCUUCCCAAGCCAAGUCAACCCCUGUGCAAACUAACAGGCAGUCCAGCUCCACAAGCACUGCUGGUGCGGACGGCACAGAGGCUGGGAGAAACCCACAAACAGAGGCCACCCACAUGGUCGUGGUCUCUACAGACAGGCAGCUGCCCAUUCACAAGGAGGAGGCAUGAUAUGAUAUGGUCUGACUGUGUCCCCACCCAAAUCUCAUCUGAAACUGUAGUUUCCAUAAUGCCCACAUGUCAUGGGAGGUGAGUGAAUCACAGGGGCAGUUACCCCCAUACUGCUGCUCACGUGAUAGUGAGCUCUCGAGAGAGGUGACUGUUUUAUAAGGGACUUUUCCCCCUUUUGCUCGGCACUUCUCCUUCCUGUCACCAUGUAAAGAAGGACGUGUUUGCUUCCCCUUCCACUAUGAUUGUCAUUUUCCUGAGGCCUCCCCAGCCAUGAUAAACUGUGAGUUAAUUAAACCUUUUUCCUUUAUAAA
rnacentral:lncRNA from 1 species